UGUGUGUUGUUCCCCUUCCUGCGUCCAUGUGAUCCCAUUUUUCAGCUCCCAAUACAAGUGAGAAUGUGGCGUUUUGUACUCUUUUCCUGGAUUAGAUUUAAAGUGGACUCAUUCCAAUUACAGGGCCUCGAAAGAGUCCUGUAUUGUUAUUUUUCGUCACUACCUCCCCGGGUCGGGAGUGGGUAAUUUGCGCGCCUGCUGCCUUCCUUGGAUGUGGUAGCCGUUUCUCAGGCUCCCUCUCCGGAAUCGAACCCUGAUUCCCCGUCACCCGUGGUCACCAUGGUAGGCACGGCGACUACCAUCGAAAGUUGAUAGGGCAGACGUUCGAAUGGGUCGUCGCCGCCACGGGGGGCGUGCGAUCAGCCCGAGGUUAUCUAGAGUCACCAAAGCCGCCGGCGCCCGCCCCCCGGCCGGGGCCGGAGAGGGGCUGACCGGGUUGGUUUUGAUCUGAUAAAUGCACGCAUCCCCCCCGCGAAGGGGGUCAGCGCCCGUCGGCAUGUAUUAGCUCUAGAAUUACCACAGUUAUCCAAGUAGGAGAGGAGCGAGCGACCAAAGGAACCAUAACUGAUUUAAUGAGCCAUUCGCAGUUUCACUGUACCGGCCGUGCGUACUUAGACAUGCAUGGCUUAAUCUUUGAGACAAGCAUAUGCUACUGGCAGGAUCAACCAGGUAGGUAGGUAGAGCGCGGCGAGGACGGGCCCGGCGCCCCGCAAGCGAGGAGGACGACGGACGGACGGACGGACGGGCCGCGGACGGGCGGACGGGAGGGAGCGAGCGGGCGCGGGGGCGGCGGCCGGGACCGGUGGGGCCGGGGCGGGGCGCGGCGAACCGGACGCCCCAACCACCCGCCCCCCACGCGACACGACCACCGGGGCCCCGCGCCACAGACCCGCGACGCUUCUUCGUCGCGCCCGCCCGCGAGGAGGCGGACGGCCCGACCCGCGCCCGGCGGCCGGGAGGGACCGGCGGCCACGCGCGCGCGCGCGCGGCCGGCGCCCGCGGGCGGCGGCGAGGCGGGGACGGCGCUCCGCCCGCCCCGCGGGGCGGCCCCGACGUCCGGGCGGCGAGCGAGAGGCGGACCGCGGUGCCCG
rnacentral:lncRNA from 1 species